rnacentral:tRNA from 1 species
CGCCCGUUCGUCUAGCGGCCUAGGACGCCGGCCUCUCACGCCGGUAACACGGUUCAAAUCCGUACGGGGUACCA